rnacentral:rRNA from 1 species
UACGUAGGGUGCGAGCGUUAAUCGGAAUUACUGGGCGUAAAGCGUGCGCAGGCGGUUCGUUAAGUCGGAUGUGAAAGCCCCGGGCUCAACCUGGGAACUGCAUUUGAAACUGGCGGGCUUGAGUGUGGCAGAGGGGGGUGGAAUUCCGCGUGUAGCAGUGAAAUGCGUAGAGAUGCGGAGGAACACCGAUGGCGAAGGCAGCCCCCUGGGCCAACACUGACGCUCAGGCACGAAAGCGUGGGGAGCAAACAGG